GGUGGUAUAGAUGGUGGCGGUGGUGUAAAUGGUGGUGGUGGUGUAGAUAGUGGUGGUGUAGAUGGUAAAGAUGGUGGUGGUGGUGGUGGUGUAGAUUGUGGCAGUGUAGAUGGUGGUGGUGGUGUAGAUAGUGGUGGUGUAGAUGGUAAAGAUGGUGGUGGUGGUGGUGUAGAUUGUGGUGGUGUAGAUGCCGGUGGUGUUGUAGAUGGUCGUGAAGAUUGUGGUGGUGUAGAUGGUACUGGUGGUGGUGUAGAUGGUACUGGUGGUGUAGAUGGUGGUGGUGUAGAUUGUGGUGGUGUAGCUGGUACUGGUGGUGGUGAAGAUGGUGGUGGUGUAGAUGGUGGUGGUGUAGAUGGUAAAGAUGGUGAUGGUGGUGGUGGUGGUGUAGAUUGUGGCGGUGUAGAUGGUGGUGGCAUUGUAGAUGGUGGUGUAGAUUGUGGUGGUGUAGAUGGUACUGGUGGUGGUGUAGAUGGUGGUGGUGUAGAUGGUAAAGAUGGUGGUGGUGGUGGUGUAGAUUGUGGUGGUGUAGAUGCCGGUGGCGUUGUAGAUGGUCGUGAAGAUUGUGGUGGUGUAUUUGGUGGUGGUGUUGUAGAUGUUGGUGAUGGUGUAGAUGGUGGUGGUGGUGUAGAUGUUGUAGUGGUGUAGAUGUUGUAGUGGUGUAGAUGGUGGUGGUCUAGAUGGUGGUAGUUGUGGUGUAGAUGGUG
ensembl:lncRNA